rnacentral:rRNA from 1 species
UCUCACACUAACGAUGUCGACUGGCGAUCCGCUAUCGUUAACUGAAUGACUUAGCGGGCAGCCUCCGGGAAACCAAAGUGUUUGGAUUCUGGGGGGAGUAUGACUGCAAAAUUGAAACUUAAAAGAAUUGACGGAAGGGCACCACCAGGAGUGGAGCCUGCGGCUUAAUUUGACUCAACACGGGAAAUCUCACCAGGCCCGGACACCGGUAGGAUUGACAGAUUGAGAGCUCUUUCUUGAUUCGGUGGGUGGUGGUGCAUGGCCGUUCUUAGUUGGUGGAGCGAUUUGUCUGGUUAAUUCCGAUAACGAACGAGACUCUGGCCUACUAACUAGACGUUAGAUCCCUUCGUGGGUCUAUCGCAGCUUCUUAGAGGGACGGGCGGCGUUUAGCCGCACGAGAUUGAGCAAUAACAGGUCUGUGAUGCCCUUAGAUGUUCUGGGCUGCACGCGCGCUACACUGAAGGAAUCAGCGUGUGUUCCCUACCCGAAAGGGUUGGGAAACCCGUCGAACCUCCUUCGUGAUGGGGAUUGGGGAUUGCAAUUAUUCCCCAUGAACGAGGAAUUCCCAGUAGGCGCCAGUCAUAAGCUGGCGUCGAUUACGUCCCCGCCCUUUGUACACACCGCCCGUCGCUACUACCGAUCGAGUGAUUUAGUGAGGCCUUCGGACUGGUCUUCAGUAUGGCUUUCGGGUCGUGUUGGAGUAUCGGAAAGAUGACCAAACUUGAUUACUUAGAGGAAGUAAAAGUCGUAACAAGGUUUCCGUAGUGAACCUGCGGAAGGAUCA